AUGAUUGUUACUGAGGAUGGUGGGUAUGAGUCUGCUAGUGACUAUGAUGAGGAGACUUUGGCUCUUAUUACACGUGACGAACACGGUGGAGACGAUUCUGAUCAUGAGACGCAAUACAUGGCUCCUGAAGAUGCUGACAGGUAUGAAUGUUUAGUUGCUCAACGUGUUUUGAGUGUGCAGGUUACACAAGCUGAGCAAAAUCAGAGGCAUAAUUUGUUCCAUACAAAGGGAGUUGUGAAGGAACGUUCUGUUCGCGUGAUCAUAGAUGGAGGGAGCUGCAAUAACUUGGCUAGCAUGGAGAUGGUGGAGAAGCUAUCUCUCACCACAAGACCACAUCCACAUCCUUACUACAUCCAAUGGUUCAACAACAGCGGCAAGGUUAAGGUAACACAUACUGUUCGUGUGCAUUUUAGUAUCUCUACAUAUGCUGAUUAUGUUGAUUGUGAUGUGGUACCUAUGCAAGCAUGUUCCUUAUUACUUGGUAGACCAUGGCAAUUUGAUAAAAAUUCUGUACACCAUGGUAGGAACAAUCAGUAUACUCUUGUUCAUAACGAUAAAAAUAUUACUUUGCUUCCUAUGACUCCUGAUUCCAUUUUGAAAGAUGAUAUUAAUAGAGCUAAUAAAGCAAAACAGGAGACAAAUAAGAGUAAAAAUCAGAUUGUGGCAAAAGAAUUUGAGCACCAAAUGAAGUCUAAUAAUAAACCAUCUACUGUUGUUUCUGAAAUUAAAUUCAAAAGUGCAUGUUUACUUGCCACCAAAUCUGAUAUUGAUGAGCUAGAUUUCAGCAAAUUUGUUUGCUAUGCCUUUGUGUGCAAAGAGGCAUUAUUUUCAUUCGAGGACGUGCCUUCCUCUUUGCCCCCUGCUGUCACUAACAUUUUGCAGGAGUUUGCUGACGUCUUUCCACAAGACGUGCCACCGGGAUUACCACCUAUUCGAGGGAUUGAGCAUCAAAUUGACUUAAUUCCCGGUGCUUCGCUACCCAACCGUGCACCAUACCGUACCAAUCCAGAGGAGACGAAGGAGAUUAUGCGUCAAGUACAAGAACUGCUCGACAAAGGUUAUAUACGCGAAUCCCUUAGUCCAUGUGCUGUUCCUAUCAUUUUAGUGCCGAAAAAGGAUGGUACGUCGCGUAUGUGCCUUGAUUGUAGAGUCAUAAAUAAUAUUACUAUUCGUUAUCGUCAUCCUAUUCCUAGGCUAGAUGAUAUGCUUGAUGAAUUGAGUGGCUCUACAAUAUUCUCCAAAGUUGAUUUGCGUAGUGGAUACCAUCAAAUUCGUAUGAAAUUGGGAGAUGAAUGGAAAACAACAUUUAAAACUAAGUUUGGAUUAUAUGAGUGGUUAGUCAUGCCUUUUGGGCUAAUGCACCUAGUACUUUCAUGA
rnacentral:rRNA from 1 species